CAAUUACUUAUAUACCCCUGAAAAGUUUCCGACUUUCUGAUUUACCCCUCUUAGAAGGCUAAUAUUGAAAAUACCCUUUUUACGUUCCAACCUAUUUUAAAUAUAUCCCUAGAGUUAAAAUCUGUUAAUGAACUUUGUUAUCUGUAUAAAAUUACUAUUUUGCCCUUUCAAAUAUACCCUUCCACCAUCACCGAGUUUUAUUAUUUUUCCUUAAGUCAGGGGCACAAAAAGUAUUUUGAUUUUUGGUCUUUUCAAAUAUACCUCUCCACCGUCACCAAUAUUUCUUAUUUGCCCUUAAGUUAAGGGCAAAAUUGGCAUUUUAAUUUUUUUUAACUGUGGUAGAUAUUUAACUCACGUUUAACUCAAGUUAACAUAAUGGGUGGUAACGUAGGGGUAUUUUGGAAUAACGGAGGAACAUAUGAGGGGUAUAUUGGAAAGAAAAAAAAAGUAAGGGUAAUUGAGACAUUUCCGAAGUUUUGAGGGGUAUAUAGGCAAUUAU
rnacentral:lncRNA from 1 species